AUGUGCUUUUCCUCCCCUCCUGAUUCAUUGGAGCUAAGUUGCAAACUUCAUCAUCACACUUCAGGACAUCACUUAAUAUGUCAGCAUGCCUUUCCUGCAAGAGUGAGGAGAUUCUCCCAUUUAACCACAAUUCCAUUAUCACAGAUGCUACUGUCAUUUGUGAUGUCCAUGAGGAGAAGAUGGAAGUGGUCAAACUCCACCUGAUGAUUCCUUGUCAAAAUCUGCUCCACCAGAGGUUAUGAACACGGCAGGAUAUGGAAACAAUAACCGAUAAAACAGAAGGUGGCUGUAGAUCCUGAAACUGUGUUUAAACGUCCCAGGGAAUGUGACAGUCCUUCGUAUCAGAAAAGGCAGAAGAUAGCCCUGUUGGCAAGGAAACAAGGAGCAGGAGACAGUCUUAUUGCAGGCUGUGCCAUGUCCAAAGAAAACAACGCAGUUUCGCUCUUCUCGGCCAGGCUGGAGUGCAGUGGCGCGAUCUCGGCUAACUGAAAUCUCUGUCUCCUGGGUUCAAGUGAUUCUUCUGCCGCAGCCCCCUGAGUAGCGGGAUUACAACCACCAGCCACCACACCCAGCUAAUUUUUAGCUUAUGACAGGAGAUGCUAUUCCACCCAGCCAAUUGGAUUCUCAGAUUGAUGACUUCAGAAAGAUAGGAUGAGGCAGAAAUCUGGUAGCAAUGCACCUGUGGGAGGAAUCAUGACCAGCAAUUUCUCUGGAGAUGACCUAGAAUGCAGAGAAAUAGUCCUUUUUCCCAAAAGCCAAGAAGAAAUUAAUGCUGAUAUAAAAUGUCAAUUAGUGAAGGAAAUCCGAUGCAUUGGACAAAAUAUAUGAGCCGAGACUUUGUUCAGCUCCUUGAGAAGAAACUGGAACAUAUGAUUUGGGAGUACUUGUCCAUGGAGGAUUAUCACACCCCAAAUGCAUAAUCUCAUUAAUGAUUCAAGAGAGAAAAGGAUCAGAUUGCUGUUUUCUGCAAUGGAGCAGGAUAUUGCUGAAGUCUCCUGGCAUAUGUUACUGAAUCAAAUGGCCUUCCAGAAGCUAAGAAAUUUCUGUUAGUAAAAGAUGUUCUUUU